rnacentral:misc_RNA from 1 species
GAUGAAGAACGCAGCGAAAUGCGAUACGUAAUGUGAAUUCCAGAAUUCAGUGAAUCAUCGAGUCUUUGAACGCACAUUGCGCCCCCUGGUAUUCCGGGGGGCAUGCCUGUCCGAGCGUCAUUGCUGCCCUCAAGCACGGCUUGUGUGUUGGGCCUCCGUCCUCCUCCCGGGGGACGGGCCCGAAAGGCAGCGGCGGCACCGCGUCCGGUCCUCGAGCGUAUGGGGCUUCGUCACCCGCUCUUGUAGGCCCGGCCGGCGCUUGCCGAAACAUCAAUCUUUUUUCCAGGUUGACCUCGGAUCAGGUAGGGAUACCCGCUGAACUUAAGCAUAUCAAUAAGCGGAGGA